CCCCAGCCGCCCUCCCCCCACCCUGCCUCCAGCGGGCCGCCGGGCCGGGGUCGCCGCCCGGGCUCGGUCAGUCGGUACCUUCAUGAAGGUCUCUACCGCGCCUUUGGCCGUGUCCAGGUGGUGAAACUGUGCCCAAGUCACACUGUUUCUGGAGCAUGGUCAGUGAGGAGGUCAGUUAUCAACUGUAGCAGUCCAGACUUGGACAAGGAUGCUGGCAGUGGAGAAGGAAAGAAGUGAAGAGAUGAGUGAUGCUUAGGAGGUGAUUGCCUGGACGUGAAGGACAGAGAGAGGACCGAAGUCAACCAGGAAGCCAGAGAACACAGGAGCCGUGCUACAUGUCUACACAAAGCAUCCCCUGGGGAAGACAGCAGGGUCGAGCAGGAGAGAGAGUGUGCCUAGCAUAGUAAGGCUACGUAUCGGGGAUGACUCUGCAGCAUCUUCUGUGAGCAACCCUGUGGACAGUGAUUCAAUUAACUGAAAGGGAAACAGACAAGAUAUUAUAGGUUGAUACCGUCACUACCCACAUUUUCUUUUAGAAAGAAGAAUGCAUUCGUGAUCCCACAGUGUGAGAUUUAAGGCAGACUCACCCGUUGGCCACUCCUCUCCACAGUGCCUUCCAAGUGGGGUUCACCAAAGUCCAGGAAGAAAUCCCCAGAGAGCCGGUCAACCAGGACAGCACAGAGCACUGCCUCUUUUACCCGUCCCAUUUGCUGUGGCCAGCCAUGCUCCUCAGAUGGCAUUGUCGGAACACAUUUUGAUAUGACUGCGUCCCCCUCAGAAUAAAGUCAUGCAACAUUGCACGUGGGGUUA